rnacentral:rRNA from 1 species
GAUGAACGCUGGCGGCGUGCCUAAUACAUGCAAGUCGAGCGAACAGAUAAGGAGCUUGCUCCUUUGACGUUAGUGGCGGACGGGUGAGUAACACGUGGGUAACCUACCUAUAAGACUGGAAUAACUCCGGGAAACCGGGGCUAAUGCCGGAUAACAUUUAGAACCGCAUGGUUCUAAAGUGAAAGAUGGUUUUGCUAUCACUUAUAGAUGGACCCGCGCCGUAUUAGCUAGUUGGUAAGGUAACGGCUUACCAAGGCAACGAUACGUAGCCGACCUGAGAGGGUGAUCGGCCACACUGGAACUGAGACACGGUCCAGACUCCUACGGGAGGCAGCAGUAGGGAAUCUUCCGCAAUGGGCGAAAGCCUGACGGAGCAACGCCGCGUGAGUGAUGAAGGUCUUCGGAUCGUAAAACUCUGUUAUUAGGGAAGAACAAAUGUGUAAGUAACUGUGCACGUCUUGACGGUACCUAAUCAGAAAGCCACGGCUAACUACGUG